rnacentral:lncRNA from 1 species
GCCCCUGUUUGUCUCUUUAUGUCGUGCAGCACAAAUCUGGAGCCCUCGCCAUGGCCGCCAAUAUUCAUCUACGCUCUACGGGUACACGGUACAUCUUCCUCCCUUGCCAGUUGCUCAAUAUUCUAGCCUAAUGAUGCGUUUAUUAAUCCCCAAUCCACGGACUCUUGCUUUCUACCCAUUCAAUAUGUUCAUGUACCAGAUUCAGAAGGCAAUUACCUCAUUCAUCUUGAUCUACGAUCUCCUUUUUCUCUGUAGGUUUGAUGAAGAUUUGGAUAACUAGCUAGAUUUUUAUGUGAAAAUUCUGUACACUUUGCCCAAGGUUGUUUGUCGGCAGGCCAUUUGCUACAGAUGCAACCAAAUUAAUUUACCAUGUAUGUAGUACACAUUUUCAUUUAAUGGUUCUAUGUCAUAUGGAGCAAUGAUUUCCUUAUGAUAUGAAUGCUUGUGAUGCGAUUGUGUCAGUUUGUAAAUGGGCAUAGUUGAAUGAAAGUUUCAGGUAUGAGGUGCUACAUUU